rnacentral:rRNA from 1 species
GCCCAGUGACUUUUUAAACGGCCGCGGUACCCUAACCGUGCAAAGGUAGCAUAAUCACUUGUCCCCUAAAUAGGGACUAGAAUGAACGGUCAAAUGAGGACUAAACUGUCUCUUAUAUUCAACCAAUAAAACUGAUCUCUUAGUCCAAAAGCUGAGAUAUAACCAUAAGACGAGAAGACCCUGUGGAGCUUCUAAACCAGACUCAUAACCAUGCCCAUCUGGUUUUUAGUUGGGGCGACUUCGGAGUACAAAAAAACCUCCGACACAGAGUAAUCCUCUACACCUAGAUUGACACACCAAAAUAAUAACACUGACCCAGUAGCUAUUCAACUAUCUGAUUAAUGAACCAAGUUACCCCAGGGAUAACAGCGCCAUCCUCUUCUAGAGUCCAUAUCGACAAGAGGGUUUACGACCUCGAUGUUGGAUCAGGACACCCNAAUAGUGCAGCCGCNAUUAAUGGUUCGGUUGUUCAGNGAUAAAGUCCUACNUGAUCUGAGUUCAGAACCCGGG